UACGGAGGGGGCUAGCGUUGUUCGGAAUUACUGGGCGUAAAGCGCACGUAGGCGGCUUUGUAAGUUAGAGGUGAAAGCCCGGGGCUCAACCCCGGAACUGCCUUUAAGACUGCAUCGCUUGAAUCCAGGAGAGGUGAGUGGAAUUCCGAGUGUAGAGGUGAAAUUCGUAGAUAUUCGGAAGAACACCAGUGGCGAAGGCGGCUCACUGGUCCGGUACUGACGCUGAGGAGCGAAAGCAUGGGGAGCGAACAGG
rnacentral:rRNA from 1 species